GCCUGGGUGGCUCAGUGGUUGAGCAUCUGCCUUUGGCUCAGGGAGUGAUCUCGAGACCUGGGAUCAAGUCCCAUAUCAGGCU
rnacentral:tRNA from 1 species